rnacentral:rRNA from 1 species
AAUAUUGGACAACGGGCGCAAGCCUGAUCCAGCCAUGCCGCGUGUGUGAAGAAGGUCUACGGAUAAAAAAGAACGUUAAUGAGGGCGGAAGGGCAGUUAACGAAGACUGAACUGUUUUGACGUUACCAAAAGAAUAAGCACACGCUAACUUCGUGCCAUCAGCAGCGGUAAAACGAAGGGUGCAAGCGUUAAUCGGAAUUACUGGGCGUAAAGCGAGCGUAGGUGGUUCGUUAAGUUGGAAGUGAAAGCCCCGGGCUCAACCUGGGAAUUGCUUUAAAAACUGGCGAGCUAGAGUACGGUAGAGGGUGGUGGAAUUUCCUGUGUAGCGGUGAAAUGCGUAGAUAUGGGAAGGAACAUCAGUGGCGAAGGCGACCACCUGGACUGAUACUGACACUGAGGUGCGAAAGCGUGGGGAGCAAACAGG